UAUGAACCGAAUCCAUUAGUGGAGCGGGGGAACCGUUGGGACUUUGUCCCUUAUUGGGGUGAAUGCCUCGUGUAUUAGAGGCUAGGGCAGUUCUUCUAUGUCCGAACCCGUCAGCUAACCUCGUAGGAAAAAAUGAGAGGAG
rnacentral:sRNA from 1 species